AUGGUGGUCUGUCUGCUUGAAUCCGCGUCAUGCCUCCUACUGAAGCAAAUUGGGGUCACCAGUGGAAGCAGAUGGUCUCUGGUCUCACAGAGGUUCCAGAAGAAGAGGGUUGUCUGCGAGGCGGCGCAGCUGCAAGCGCUGGAGCGCGGCGUGGCCGACCUUGAGAAGGGUGUUGAGUCCCUAUUCAGGAGGUUGAUCCAGAGCAGGGUUUCACUCCUGAACAUCCUUAGCUACUAG
rnacentral:rRNA from 1 species